rnacentral:tRNA from 1 species
GGAGGAGUCGCAUAGCCUGGUCAAUUGCGGGAGUUUGCUAAAUUCCUGAGCAGAAAUGCUCGCGUGGGUUCGAAUCCCACCUCCUCCG